rnacentral:rRNA from 1 species
UUAAAUCAGUUAUCGUCUAUUUGAUAGUACCUUACUACUUGGAUAACCGUGGUAAUUCUAGAGCUAAUACAUGCUGAAAACCCCGACUUCGGAAGGGAUGUAUUUAUUAGAUUAAAAACCAAUGCCCUCCGGGGCUCCCUGGUGAUUCAUGAUAACUUCUCGAAUCGCACGGCCUUGCGCCGGCGAUGGUUCAUUCAAAUUUCUGCCCUAUCAACUUUCGACGGCUGGGUCUUGGCCAGCCAUGGUGACAACGGGUAACGGAGGGUUAGGGCUCGACCCCGGAGAAGGAGCCUGAGAAACGGCUACUACAUCUAAGGAAGGCAGCAGGCGCGCAAAUUACCCAAUCCCGACGCGGGGAGGUAGUGACAAUAAAUACUGAUACAGGGCUCUUUAGGGUCGUGUAAUUGGAAUGAGUACAGUUUAAUUCCCUUAACGAGGAACAAUUGGAGGGCAAGUCUGGUGCCAGCAGCCGCGGUAAUUCCAGCUCCAAUAGCGUAUAUUAAAGUUGUUGCAGUUAAAAAGCUCGUAGUUGAACCUUGGGCCUGGCUGGCCGGUCCGCCUCACCGCGUGCACUGGUCCGGCCGGGCCUUUCCCUCUGGGGAGCCGCAUGCCCUUCACUGGGCGUGCCGGGGAACCAGGACGUUUACUUUGAAAAAAUUAGAGUGUUCAAAGCAGGCUUAUGCUCGGAUACAUUAGCAUGGAAUAAUGGAAUAGGACGUGCGGUUCUAUUUUGUUGGUUUCUAGGACCGCCGUAAUGAUUAAUAGGGACAGUCGGGGGCAUCAGUAUUCAAUUGUCAGAGGUGAAAUUCUUGGAUUUAUUGAAGACUAACUACUGCGAAAGCAUUUGCCAAGGAUGUUUUCAUUAAUCAGGAACGAAAGUUAGGGGAUCGAAGACGAUCAGAUACCGUCGUAGUCUUAACCAUAAACUAUGCCGACUAGGGAUCGGACGCUGUUGUCUUU